CAAUAGCGUAUAUUAAAGUUGUUGCAGUUAAAAAGCUCGUAGUUGGAUUUCUGGUUGAAGCGACCGGUCGGGCGUUGAUUCGUCUGCACUGGGGUCGGUUUUGGCCAUCCUCUAGGAAAGUGCGUCUGGUAUUAAGUUAUCGGGCGUAUGAUCCUGGUCUUUUACUGUGAAAAAAUUAGAGUGUUUAAAGCAGGCCUUCGCCUUGAAUACAUUAGCAUGGAAUAAUAAGAUAGGACUUUGGUCUAUUUUGUUGGUUUGCAGACCGAAGUAAUGAUUAAUAGGGAUAGUUGGGGGUAUUUAUAUUCCGAUGUCAGAGGUGAAAUUCUUAGAUUUUCGGAAGAUAAACUUAUGCGAAAGCAUUUACCAAGGAUGUUUUCAUUAA
rnacentral:rRNA from 1 species